UACGUAGGGUGCAAGCGUUGUCCGGAAUUAUUGGGCGUAAAGAGCUCGUAGGCGGUGUGUCACGUCGUUCGUGAAAAACCUGCAGCUUAACUGUGGGCGUGCGGUCGAUACGGGCAUCACUGGAGUUCGGCAGGGGAGACUGGAAUUCCUGGUGUAGCGGUGAAAAUGCGCAGAUAUCAGGGAGGGAAACACCCGGUGGGCGAAAGGGCGGGGUCUCUGGGGCCCGAUAACU
rnacentral:rRNA from 1 species